UAAAGACAUGGUCACAGCUGCCUGAAGCAUGUCUUCUUCGCUCAUAGCAUCUCCUGCUGGGAAAGAAAACAAGUGUUAUCUCUUAGACAUUUCGGGAAAAUUCUCAAAGUCAUCAAAAGAAGGGAGAACGACGUCAGAAAAAUCCACGUUUGAAAACAUUUAAACACGAUGGUUAUGAUGCAACCGUGGUGGCAAGCUUCCAGACCCUAGGA